AUGUCGGCAUCCCGGAUCCCACCACGGACGAUGUCGGCGUCGGCCUGCGCCCCGGAGACCGCGCAGGGCACGCACCUGUUCAAGAUCGACGGCUACAGCCUGUGCAGGGGCCUCGGCGUCGGCAAGUCCAUCCAGUCCGCCACCUUCCGCGUCGGCGGCCACGACUGGUGCGUCUACUUCUACCCCGACGGCCUCAGGGAGGACAGCAAGGACUACGUUUCAGUCUUCGUCGAGCUCAAGACCGAGAACGCAGAGGCGAGGGCGCUCUACCAUGUGAGGGUGGUCGACCAGGCCUGGCCGCCGCCGCCUUUCACGUGGCCGGUCCCCAGCCAGUACGAGGCGCUGGUGUUUAACUCCGCUGAUGACUACAACUGCUGCUCGGGCUACACCCAUUUCAUGAGGAGGACGGAGCUGCAGCCGUACGUUCUGGAGGACACCCUUAUCCUCGAGUGCAAUCUUGCCGUCAUCGAGCUGAAGGACGCGCAAGAGGCUGAUGUCAAGGUUAACUUUGAGGCCCAGGCGCCGCCGUCCGAAUUGGUUCAUAACCUUAGCAGCUUGCUGGAGGCUACGGAGGGAUCUGAUGUGUCUUUCACGGUCAAGGAGGAGAUUUUCCCGGCUCAUAAGGUCAUCCUCGCAAUGCGGUCGCCGGUCUUCCGGGUGAAGUUCUACGGCCCGAUGAGGGACGAGAGUAGCCGCAGCAUAACCGUUGAAGACAUGCAGCCCGCUGUUUUCAGAGGACUGCUUCACUUCAUCUACACUGAUUCGUUGCCUCCAUUGGAUUACCUGGAUGACGAUGAGUAUGAAGAAAUGGCUAGGCAUUUGCGGUGGCCGCAGAUAGGUACGCCAUGGAAAGGAUGA
rnacentral:rRNA from 1 species